GACGAACGCUGGCGGCGUGCUUAACACAUGCAAGUCGAACGGAAAGGCCCUGCUUUUGUGGGGUGCUCGAGUGGCGAACGGGUGAGUAACACGUGAGUAACCUGCCCUUGACUUUGGGAUAACUUCAGGAAACUGGGGCUAAUACCGGAUAGGAGCUCCUGCUGCAUGGUGGGGGUUGGAAAGUUUCGGCGGUUGGGGAUGGACUCGCGGCUUAUCAGCUUGUUGGUGGGGUAGUGGCUUACCAAGGCUUUGACGGGUAGCCGGCCUGAGAGGGUGACCGGCCACAUUGGGACUGAGAUACGGCACAGACUCGUAAGGGAGGAAGCAGUGGGGAAUAUUGAACAAUGGGCGGAAGCCUGAUGCAGCAACGCCGCGUGCGGGAUGACGGCCUUCGGGUUGUAAACCGCUUUCGCCUGUGACGAAGCGUGAGUGACGGUAAUGGGUAAAGAAGCACCGGCUAACUACGUG
rnacentral:rRNA from 1 species